UACGGAGGGGGCUAGCGUUGUUCGGAAUUACUGGGCGUAAAGCGCACGUAGGCGGCUUUGCAAGUUAGAGGUGAAAGCCCGGAGCUCAACUCCGGAAUUGCCUUUAAAACUGCAUCGCUAGAAUUGUGGAGAGGUAAGUGGAAUUCCGAGUGUAGAGGUGAAAUUCGUAGAUAUUCGGAAGAACACCAGUGGCGAAGGCGACUUACUGGACACAUAUUGACGCUGAGGAGCGAAAGCGUGGGGAGCGAACAGG
rnacentral:rRNA from 1 species